rnacentral:rRNA from 1 species
UUGCCUACGGGACGCAGCAGUGGGGGAUAUUGCACAAUGGGGGAAACCCUGAUGCAGCGACGCCGCGUGGGCGAAGAAGUAUUUCGGUAUGUAAAGCCCUAUCAGCAGGGAAGAAGAAAUGACGGUACCUGAGUAAGAAGCACCGGCUAACUACGUGCCAGCAGCCGCGGUAAUACGUAGGGGGCAAGCGUUAUCCGGAUUUACUGGGUGUAAAGGGAGCGCAGGUGGCAAGGCAAGCCAGAAGUGAAAACCCGGGGCUUAACCCCGCGGAUUGCUUUUGGAACUGUCUGGCUGGAGUGCAGGAG